AUUGAACGCUGGCGGCAGGCCUAACACAUGCAAGUCGAGCGAGCGGCGGACGGUUGAGUAAUGUAUGGGGACUGCCCGAUAGAGGGGGAUCACUACUGGAAACGGUAGCUAAUACCGCAUACUAUCGGAUAACCCAUAUGGGAUUAGCUAGUAGUUGAGGUACUGGCUAACUUAGGAUACCAGCCCUAGCUGGUCUGAGAGGAUGAUCAGCCACACUGGGACUGAGACACGGCCCAGACUCCUACGGAGGCAGCAGUGGGGAAUAUUGCACAAUGGGCGCAAGCAGGAGGCAGCCAUGCCGCGUGUAUGAAGAAGGCCCUAGGGUUGUAAAGUACUUUCAGUCGGGAGGCGUUACCGACAGAAGAAGCACCGGCUAACUCCGUGCCAGCAGCCGCGGUAAUAC
rnacentral:rRNA from 1 species